UACGUAGGGGCAAGCGUUGGUCCGGAAUCAUUGGGCGUAAAGAGCGUGUAGGCGGCUCGGUAAGUCCGCUGUGAAAGUCCAGGGCUCAACCCUGGAAUGCCGGUGGAUACUGUCGAGCUCGAGUCCGGAAGAGGCGAGUGGAAUUCCUGGUGUAGCGGUGAAAUGCGCAGAUAUCGGGAAGGAACACCGGUGGCGAAGGCGGUUCUCUGGGCCUUACC
rnacentral:rRNA from 1 species